rnacentral:rRNA from 1 species
UUAAGCGACUAAGCGUACACGGUGGAUGCCCUGGCAGUCAGAGGCGAUGAAGGACGUGCUAAUCUGCGAAAAGCGUCGGUAAGGUGAUAUGAACCGUUAUAGCCGGCGAUGUCCGAAUGGGGAAACCCAGUGCAAUUCGUUGCACUAUCGUUAACUGAAUACAUAGGUUAACGAGGCGAACCGGGGGAACUGAAACAUCUAAGUACCCCGAGGAAAAGAAAUCAACCGAGAUUCCCCCAGUAGCGGCGAGCGAACGGGGAGCAGCCCAGAGUCUGAAUCAGCUUGUGUGUUAGUGGAACGGUCUGGAAAGUCCGACGGUACAGGGUGAUAGUCCCGUACACCAAAAUGCACAGGUUGUGAACUCGAAGAGUAGGGCGGGACACGUGGUAUCCUGUCUGAAUAUGGGGGGACCAUCCUCCAAGGCUAAAUACUCCUGACUGACCGAUAGUGAACCAGUACCGUGAGGGAAAGGCGAAAAGAACCCCGGCGAGGGGAGUGAAAAAGAACCUGAAACCGUGUACGUACAAGCAGUGGGAGCACCUUCGGGUGUGACUGCGUACCUUUUGUAUAAUGGGUCAGCGACUUAUAUUCUGUAGCAAGGUUAACCGUAUAGGGGAGCCGCAGGGAAACCGAGUCUUAACUGGGCGUUAAGUUGCAGGGUAUAGACCCGAAACCCGGUGAUCUAGCCAUGGGCAGGUUGAAGGUUGGGUAACACUAACUGGAGGACCGAACCGACUAAUGUUGAAAAAUUAGCGGAUGACUUGUGGCUGGGGGUGAAAGGCCAAUCAAACCGGGAGAUAGCUGGUUCUCCCCGAAAGCUAUUUAGGUAGCGCCUCGUGAAUUCAUCUUCGGGGGUAGAGCACUGUUUCGGCUAGGGGGUCAUCCCGACUUACCAACCCGAUGCAAACUACGAAUACCGAAGAAUGUUAUCACGGGAGACACACGGCGGGUGCUAACGUCCGUCGUGAAGAGGGAAACAACCCAGACCGCCAGCUAAGGUCCCAAAGUCAUGGUUAAGUGGGAAACGAUGUGGGAAGGCACAGACAGCCAGGAUGUUGGCUUAGAAGCAGCCAUCAUUUAAAGAAAGCGUAAUAGCUCACUGGUCGAGUCGGCCUGCGCGGAAGAUGUAACGGGGCUAAACCAUGCACCGAAGCUGCGGCAGCGACACUAUGUGUUGUUGGGUAGGGGAGCGUUCUGUAAGCCUGCGAAGGUGACCUGUGAGGGUUGCUGGAGGUAUCAGAAGUGCGAAUGCUGACAUAAGUAACGAUAAAGCGGGUGAAAAGCCCGCUCGCCGGAAGACCAAGGGUUCCUGUCCAACGUUAAUCGGGGCAGGGUGAGUCGACCCCUAAGGCGAGGCCGAAAGGCGUAGUCGAUGGGAAACAGGUUAAUAUUCCUGUACUUGGUGUUACUGCGAAGGGGGGACGGAGAAGGCUAUGUUAGCCGGGCGACGGUUGUCCCGGUUUAAGCAUGUAGGCUGGUUAUCCAGGCAAAUCCGGAUAAUCAAGGCUGAGGUGUGAUGACGAGGCACUACGGUGCUGAAGUAACAAAUGCCCUGCUUCCAGGAAAAGCCUCUAAGCAUCAGGUAACAUCAAAUCGUACCCCAAACCGACACAGGUGGUCAGGUAGAGAAUACCAAGGCGCUUGAGAGAACUCGGGUGAAGGAACUAGGCAAAAUGGUGCCGUAACUUCGGGAGAAGGCACGCUGGUGUGUAGGUGAAGUCCCUGCGGAUGGAGCUGAGACCAGUCGAAGAUACCAGCUGGCUGCAACUGUUUAUUAAAAACACAGCACUGUGCAAACACGAAAGUGGACGUAUACGGUGUGACGCCUGCCCGGUGCCGGAAGGUUAAUUGAUGGGGUUAUCCGUAAGGAGAAGCUCUUGAUCGAAGCCCCGGUAAACGGCGGCCGUAACUAUAACGGUCCUAAGGUAGCGAAAUUCCUUGUCGGGUAAGUUCCGACCUGCACGAAUGGCGUAAUGAUGGCCAGGCUGUCUCCACCCGAGACUCAGUGAAAUUGAACUCGCUGUGAAGAUGCAGUGUACCCGCGGCAAGACGGAAAGACCCCGUGAACCUUUACUAUAGCUUGACACUGAACAUUGAGCCUUGAUGUGUAGGAUAGGUGGGAGGCUUUGAAGCGUGGACGCCAGUCUGCGUGGAGCCAACCUUGAAAUACCACCCUUUAAUGUUUGAUGUUCUAACGUUGGCCCCUUACCGGGGUUGCGGACAGUGUCUGGUGGGUAGUUUGACUGGGGCGGUCUCCUCCCAAAGCGUAACGGAGGAGCACGAAGGUUAGCUAAUCCUGGUCGGACAUCAGGAGGUUAGUGCAAUGGCAUAAGCUAGCUUGACUGCGAGCGUGACGGCGCGAGCAGGUGCGAAAGCAGGUCAUAGUGAUCCGGUGGUUCUGAAUGGAAGGGCCAUCGCUCAACGGAUAAAAGGUACUCCGGGGAUAACAGGCUGAUACCGCCCAAGAGUUCAUAUCGACGGCGGUGUUUGGCACCUCGAUGUCGGCUCAUCACAUCCUGGGGCUGAAGUAGGUCCCAAGGGUAUGGCUGUUCGCCAUUUAAAGUGGUACGCGAGCUGGGUUUAGAACGUCGUGAGACAGUUCGGUCCCUAUCUGCCGUGGGCGCUGGAGAAUUGAGGGGGGCUGCUCCUAGUACGAGAGGACCGGAGUGGACGCAUCACUGGUGUUCGGGUUGUCAUGCCAAUGGCACUGCCCGGUAGCUAAAUGCGGAAGAGAUAAGUGCUGAAAGCAUCUAAGCACGAAACUUGCCCCGAGAUGAGUUCUCCCUGAGACUUUAAGUCUCCUGAAGGAACGUUAAAGACGAUGACGUUGAUAGGCCGGGUGUGUAAGCGCAGCGAUGCGUUGAGCUAACCGGUACUAAUGAACCGUGAGGCUUAACCUU